rnacentral:rRNA from 1 species
ACGAACGCUGGCGGCGUGCUUAACACAUGCAAGUCGAACGGAAAGGCCCUGCUUGCAGGGUGCUCGAGUGGCGAACGGGUGAGUAACACGUGGGUGAUCUGCCCCUUACUUUGGGAUAAGCCUGGGAAACUGGGUCUAGUACUGGAUAGGACCAUGCUGUAGGUGGUGUGGUGGAAAGAUUAGUUUCGGUAAGGGAUGAGCUCGCGGCCUAUCAGCUUGUUGGUGGGGUAAUGGCCUACCAAGGCGUCGACGGGUAGCCGGCCUGAGAGGGUGGACGGCCACAUUGAGACUGAGAUACGGCCCAGACUCCUACGGGAGGCAGCAGUGGGGAAUAUUGCACAAUGGGCGCAAGCCUGAUGCAGCGACGCCGCGUGGGGGAUGACGGCCUUCGGGUUGUAAACUCCUUUCAGCCAUGACGAAGCCCUUGUGGUGACGGUAGUGGUAGAAGAAGCACCGGCUAACUACGUG